AUUGAACGCUGGCGGCAGGCCUAACACAUGCAAGUCGAGCGGAUGAAGGGAGCUUGCUCCUGGAUUCAGCGGCGGACGGGUGAGUAAUGCCUAGGAAUCUGCCUGGUAGUGGGGGAUAACGUCCGGAAACGGGCGCUAUUACCGCAUACGUCCUGAGGGAGAAAGUGGGGGAUCUUCGGACCUCACGCUAUCAGAUGAGCCUAGGUCGGAUUAGCUAGUUGGUGGGGUAAAGGCCUACCAAGGCGACGAUCCGUAACUGGUCUGAGAGGAUGAUCAGUCACACUGGAACUGAGACACGGUCCAGACUCCUACGGGAGGCAGCAGUGGGGAAUAUUGGACAAUGGGCGAAAGCCUGAUCCAGCCAUGCCGCGUGUGUGAAGAAGGUCUUCGGAUUGUAAAGCACUUUAAGUUGGGAGGAAGGGCAGUAAGUUAAUACCUUGCUGUUUUGACGUUACCAACAGAAUAAGCACCGGCUAACUUCGUG
rnacentral:rRNA from 1 species